UACGGGGGGGGCAAGCGUUGUUCGGAAUUACUGGGCGUAAAGGGCUCGUAGGCGGCCAACUAAGUCAGACGUGAAAUCCCUCGGCUUAACCAAGGAAGUGCAUCCGAAACUGCAGUGCUUGAGUACUUAAGAGGAUCGCGGAAUUCCCGGUGUAGAGGUGAAAUUCGUAGAUAUCGGGAGGAACACCAGUGGCGAAGGCGACUUACUGGACACAUAUUGACGCUGAGGUGCGAAAGCGUGGGGAGCAAACAGG
rnacentral:rRNA from 1 species